rnacentral:rRNA from 1 species
UACGGGGGGAGCAAGCGUUGUUCGGAUUUACUGGGCGUAAAGGGCGCGUAGGCGGUCAGCACAAGUCAGUUGUGAAAUCUCCGGGCUUAACUCGGAAAGGUCAACUGAUACUGUGCGACUAGAGUGCGGAAGGGGCAACUGGAAUUCUCGGUGUAGCGGUGAAAUGCGUAGAUAUCGAGAGGAACACCUGCGGCGAAGGCGGGUUGCUGGGCCGACACUGACGCUGAUGCGCGAAAGCCAGGGGGAGCGAACGGGG